CUGGCGGCGUGCUUAACACAUGCAAGUCGAACGAAGCAGCAGUGAAGGAGGCUUCGGCCAAUGGAUCUGUUGACUUAGUGGCGGACGGUGAGUAACGCGUGAGCAACCUGCCUUUCAGAGGGGGAUAACGUUUGGAAACGAACGCUAAUACCGCAUGACAUAGUGGUGUCGCAUGGCACUGUUAUCAAAGGAGCAAUCCGCUGAAAGAUGGGCUCGCGUCCGAUUAGAUAGUUGGUGGGGUAACGGCCUACCAAGUCGACGAUCGGUAGCCGGACUGAGAGGUUGAACGGCCACAUUGGGACUGAGACACGGCCCAGACUCCUACGGGAGGCAGCAGUGGGGAAUAUUGCACAAUGGGCGAAAGCCUGAUUGCAGCAACGCCGCGUGAGGGAAGACGGUUUUCGGAUUGUAAACCUCUGUCCUUGGUGAAGAUAAUGACGGUAGCCGAGGAGGAAGCCACGGCUAACUACGUGCCAGCAGCCGC
rnacentral:rRNA from 1 species